GUGUGUUUUCAAGCUUUUUAAGGUUGACCUUGACCUUUUCAAUACAUUCUACGUCUAUUGGAACAUGUAUUUUACAUUACAAAAGGAAAGACCUCUCAAUUGUUCAAGAACAAUUGUUGACCUUACUGUAUUUCUUCUGAUUAUUAUUAAGGUCUUUCCUUUUACAAAAGGGAAAGACCUUACUGUAUUUCUUCUGUUUAUUAUUAUUAUUAUUAUUAUUAUUAUUA
rnacentral:lncRNA from 1 species